ensembl:ncRNA C15C8.9 ncRNA
GAUUUUCUCAGCCGUUCGUUCAUAUUUACUUUUAAAUAUACAGACUCUGUGGGAUAUUCACCUUAUUUCAUUUCAACACACACGUGACGUCAGAGUGUCCGUGCGGAAAAAGAGCGGAGCACGGAAAGUUCCGCGCGGAAAGAAAAAGGUCUUUGAAAGAAGUUGGUCAAACUUAGAACAUGAUGACCC